rnacentral:rRNA from 1 species
UGAGUUUGAUCGUGGCUCAGGAUGAACGCUAGCGGGAGGCCUAACACAUGCAAGCCGAGCGGUAGAUUACGUUUCGGGUAAUUGAGAGCGGCGUACGGGUGCGGAACACGUGUGCAACCUGCCUUUAUCAGGGGGAUAGCCUUUCGAAAGGAAGAUUAAUACCCCAUAAUAUAUUAUUCGGCAUCGGGUGAUAUUGAAAACUACGGUGGAUAGAGAUGGGCACGCGCAAGAUUAGCUAGUUGGUGAGGUAACGGCUCACCAAGGCGACGAUCUUUAGGGGGCCUGAGAGGGUGAUCCCCCACACUGGUACUGAGACACGGACCAGACUCCUACGGGAGGCAGCAGUGAGGAAUAUUGGACAAUGGGUGAAAGCCUGAUCCAGCCAUCCCGCGUGCAGGAAGACGGCCCUAUGGGUUGUAAACUGCUUUUAUCUGGGGAUAAACCUACUUACGUGUAAGUAGCUGAAGGUACCAGAAGAAUAAGCACCGGCUAACUCCGUGCCAGCCGCCGCCGUAACACA